GAACGCUGGCGGCGUGCCUAAUAACUUCAAGUCGAGCGAACAGACGAGGAGCUUGCUCCUCUGACGUUAGCGGCGGGCGGGGGGGUAAAACGUGGAUAAACUACCUAUAAAAAUGGGAUAAAUUCGGGGAAACGGAGCUAAUAACGGGUAAUAUAUUGAACCGCAAGGUUCAAUAGUGAAAAAAGGGUUUUCUGUCACUUUUAGAUGGAUCCGCGCCGCAUUAGCUAGUUGGUAAGGUAACGGCUUACCAAGGCGACGAUGCGUAGCCGACCUGAGAGGGUGAUCGGCCACACUGGAACUGAGACACGGUCCAGACUCCUACGGGAGGCAGCAGUAGGGAAUCUUCCGCAAUGGGCGAAAGCCUGACGGAGCAACGCCGCGUGAGUGAUGAAGGUCUUCGGAUCGUAAAACUCUGUUAUUAGGGAAGAACAAAUGUGUAAGUAACUAUGCACGUCUUGACGGUACCUAAUCAGAAAGCCACGGCUAACUACGUG
rnacentral:rRNA from 1 species